rnacentral:lncRNA from 1 species
GUUCUGGAAUAUUCAGUUUUCAAAACACAUUGUUGAGUUUAAAAGUCCAAAAAGCCAUUUUGGUAAGUUGAUCAAUGUUACCAAGUACCUGUAUCCGAAAUUCUGUGUGAUGGAGAUGUUUAAAUAGUGACAGGAUCUACAUAAAACUACUUUUCUUUCUCCCUGUGGUCUGUGUGUUAACCUUCACACUCCCUACCUUCACCCAGGACACACAACAACUCUGCCUCCACUUACAUCUCAGCCUGGCCGCUCCUUCCUCUUCCCCUCUCGAACCCAGCACUGUCCACUCUGACCACCAUAUUGCUCCCUGCCUCCACUGGUUCUUCUGUGCCUUUCUCACACUGCCCCUUGUGCCUGGAACAGCCUCCAUGACCCAGCGCACCAUCAUUCCUGUUCUUGUGCGUAAUCUUGUGCUCAAAGGCUUUCCUGGGUCAGGGCCUCAAAAUGGAUCAGGAGAGGAAAUUCAGAAUUAGCAAGGCACAUACACAGCUAAUUAGGCAAAUCACAAUCAACUUGUGCUCUGACUUGUGUUAUUAUGUCUGUAGACUGUAAGCUCUUUCGGAGAAAGGACCUGUCUUCGAUUGUCAUAUAGCGUCAUGAAUGACUCUGGUGCUGUAUAAAUAAUAAAUCAGAAUGCUGUAGGG